AUGGUGAAUAUAGUAUCAUACUGUUUGGGCUUCCACCUCAGUUCCAGAGUGCAGGAUUUUGAUGAAGGGUUUGCAACCCCUACUUUUAGUACAAAACAUUCAGCUAUGGAAAAAUAAAUGCAAAAGCCUUAUCCUCGAUAUGUAAGGUGUGACACCAGUGACACAACUAUCGCUGAUUUGAACAGAAGAUGCCAUUCAUAUAGCACUUGAGUUAUCCAACUCCAAGGUACAUGGUAGAACAUAUAUUUUGUGAUAGGAAAACAGUGAUACUCAGAUUUAU
rnacentral:misc_RNA from 1 species